rnacentral:rRNA from 1 species
ACUGAGCGGCGCCGGGUGAGUAACGCGUGGGUAACCUCCCUCAUACAGGGGGAUAACAGUUAGAAAUGGCUGUAAUACCGCAUAAGCGCACAGCAUCGCAUGAUGCCCGUGUGAAAAACUCCGGUGGUAUGAGAUGGACCCCGCGUCUGAUUUAGGUAGUUGGCGGGGUAACGGCCCACCAAGCCGACGAUCAGUAGCCGACCUGAGAGGGUGACCGGCCACAUUGGGACUGAGACACGGCCCAAACUCCUACGGGAGGCAGCAGUGGGGAAUAUUGCGCAAUGGGGGCAACCCUGACGCAGCAACGCCGCGUGAACGAUGAAGGUCUUCGGAUUGUAAAGUUCUUUUAUUAAGGACGAAGAAGUGACGGUACUUAAUGAAUAAGCUCCGGCUAACUACGUGCCAGCAGCCGCGGUAAUACGUAGGGAGCAAGCGUUGUCCGGAUUUACUGGGUGUAAAGGGUGCGUAGGCGGCAGAGCAAGUCAGAUGUGAAAUCCACGGGCUUAACUCGUGAACUGCAUUUGAAACUACUUUUCUUGAGUAUCGGAGAGGCAAUCGGAAUUCCUAGUGUAGCGGUGAAAUGCGUAGAUAUUAGGAGGAACACCAGUGGCGAAGGCGGAUUGCUGGACGACAACUGACGGUGAGGCGCGAAAGCGUGGGGAGCAAACAGGAUUA